rnacentral:misc_RNA from 1 species
CAAACACCCACCCUUUCCCCUCUCUCUCUCUCUUCAACAAUGGAGGCCAAGAUUGAUCAACAAGAAUUCAUUUUCCGCUCCAAGCUCCCAGAUAUCUACAUCCCAAAUCACCUUCCUUUACACACAUAUUGCUUCGAAAAAGUUUCCCAAUUCAAAGACAAUCCUUGCUUGAUCAAUGGCGCUACUGGCGAUAUCUACACUUACGCCGAUGUUGAACUCAUAUCAAGAAAAGUCGCCGCCGGCCUCGACAAGUUAGGUAUCCAACAAGGCGAUGUUAUAAUGCUUUUGCUCCAAAACUCUCAAGAAUUUGUGUUUGCAUUUCUUGGUGCAUCGUAUCGCGGUGCUAUUAGCACAACUGCCAAUCCUUUUUACACUCCGGCGGAGAUCGCGAAACAAGCAACUGCAUCGAAGGCGAAGUUGAUAGUAACACAAGCAGCUUACGCUGAGAAAGUGAAGCAAUUCGCUAAAGAAAAUGAUAUCAAGAUAAUGACAACUGAUUCACCACCAGACGGUUGUUUACACUUCUCGGAAUUGACAGAAGCCGAUGAGAAUAAUAUCCCCGCAGUCAAUAUCAACCCCGACGAUGUGGUGGCCCUUCCAUAUUCAUCGGGGACCACAGGUCUGCCUAAAGGUGUUAUGUUAACUCAUAAAGGACUUGUCACAAGCGUGGCACAACAAGUUGACGGAGAUAACCCAAAUCUUUAUUUUCAUGAGAAGGAUGUGAUUCUUUGUGUCUUGCCAUUGUUUCACAUCUAUUCUCUAAAUUCAGUGUUGCUUUGUGGGCUGAGAGUUGGUGCUGCAAUUUUAAUCAUGCAAAAGUUCGAGAUCAUUGCAUUAAUGGAGCUUGUACAAAAAUAUAAGGUGACAAUAGCUCCGUUCGUGCCUCCGAUCGUCCUGGCAAUUGCAAAGAGUCCAGUGGUUGAUGAGUAUGAUCUUUCUUCUAUUCGGACGGUGAUGUCCGGUGCAGCUCCGAUGGGAAAGGAGCUAGAGGAUACUGUGAGGGCUAAGCUUCCAAAUGCAAAACUUGGACAGGGCUACGGAAUGACAGAGGCAGGACCAGUGUUAUCAAUGUGUCUGGCAUUUGCAAAGGAACCUUUCGAGAUCAAAUCCGGCGCCUGUGGGACCGUCGUGAGAAACGCCGAGAUGAAGAUCGUCGACCCCGAAACCGGCAACUCGUUGCCCCGAAAUCAGACCGGAGAGAUUUGCAUUAGGGGUAGUCAAAUCAUGAAAGGUUAUCUGAAUGAUCCAGAGGCCACAGUUAACACCAUAGGCAAGGAGGGAUGGUUGCAUACAGGUGAUGUUGGGUACAUUGAUGAUGAUGAUGAGCUCUUCAUCGUUGAUCGAUUAAAAGAGUUGAUCAAGUACAAAGGCUUCCAAGUCGCCCCAGCCGAACUCGAAGCAAUGUUGAUUGCCCAUCCCAGCAUCUCUGAUGCUGCUGUUGUACCCAUGAAAGAUGAGGCUGCGGGUGAGGUUCCUGUUGCAUUUGUGGUGCGAUCGAACGGUUGUAAAGUCACUGAGGAUGAGAUUAAACAAUACAUAUCAAAACAGGUUAUAUUUUACAAGAGAAUCAAUCGAGUGUUCUUCACAGAAGCAAUUCCAAAAGCUCCAUCAGGAAAAAUCUUGAGAAAAGACUUACGAGCAAAGCUUAUUGCUGGUGUUCCCAAUUAGUAUCAAAGCAUACGCAAUCAGCUGUAGACCAAAGAAAAGGCAAAAUGAAUGUAAUUAAUUGUACUUUCUAUUGCUUAAUUAUUGCCCUUCAAGAGAGUAAUUGAUUCAUAAUCAUAUGUAUUAUUGAACUUUUAAUGCAUGGCUUUCAG